rnacentral:pre_miRNA from 1 species
UCUUACGGAUGAGAAAAGAAAAUGGUUUCUUGAAAUGGAAUCUACUCCUGGUAAAAGUGCUGUGAA